CCUGACCUCGGAUCAGUCGUGCUACCCGCUGAACUUAAGCAUA
rnacentral:rRNA from 1 species